AAUCAACGCUGGCGGCGUGCCUAACACAUGCAAGUCGAACGCGAAAAGGGGCAACCCUGAGUAGAGUGGCGUCCGGGUGAGUAACACGUGGAUAAUCUGCCUGGGGGCGUGGAAUAACUUUCCGAAAGGGGAGCUAAUACCGCAUAACACCGUAAUGGGGCAUCCUGAUACGGUCAAAGAGGGGGAUCGCAAGACCUCUCGCCUGCAGAGGAGUCCGCGGCCGAUUAGCUAGNGGCGGGGUAACGGCCCACCAAGGCAGCGAUCGGUAGCCGGCCUGAGAGGGCGAACGGCCACACUGGCACUGAAAUACGGGCCAGACUCCUACGGGAGGCAGCAGUGGGGAAUUUUGGGCAAAUGGCCGAAAGGCUGACCCAGCAACGCCGCGUGAAGGAUGAAAUCUUUCGGG
rnacentral:rRNA from 1 species